rfam:Triticum aestivum genome assembly, contig: Triticum_aestivum_CS42_TGACv1_scaffold_094841_2AL
AUACUACUCCCUCCGUCCGGAAAAGCUUGUCUCAAUCUUGUUCCUCAAAUGGAUGUAUCUAGCACUAACUUGGUGCUAGAUACAUCCAUUUGAGGGACAAGUUUUUUCGGACGGAGGUAGUACCUU